rnacentral:rRNA from 1 species
ACGCCUAAUACAUGCAAGUCGAACGCAGUAGCAAUACUGAGUGGCAGACGGGUGAGUAUAAUGUGGGAAUCUGCCUUUUGGUUUGGAAUAACUCGGGGAAACUUGAGCUAAUACCGGAUAAGCCCUUACGGGGAAAGAUUUAUCGCCGAAAGAUGAGCCCGCACUUGAUUAGCUAGUUGGUAAGGUAAAAGCUUACCAAGGCAAUGAUCAAUAGCUGUUCUUAGAGGAAGACCAGCCACAUUGGGACUGAGACACGGCCCAGACUCCUACGGGAGGCAGCAGUAGGGAAUCUUGCACAAUGGAGGAAACUCUGAUGCAGCGAUGCCGCGUGAGUGAAGAAGGCCUUUGGGUUGUAAAACUCUUUCGUUGGGGAAGAAAAUGACUGUACCCAAAUAAGAAGGUCCGGCUAACUUCGUGCCAGCAGCCGCGGUAAUACGAAGGGACCUAGCGUAGUUCGGAAUUACUGGGCUUAAAGAGCUCGUAGGUGGUUGAAAAAGUUGAUGGUGAAAUCCCAAGGCUUAACCUUGGAACUGCCAUCAAAACUUUUUAGCUAGAGUAUGAUAGAGGAAAGUGGAAUUUCUAGUGUAGAGGUGAAAUUCGUAGAUAUUAGAAAGAACACCAAAAGCGAAGGCAACUUUCUGGAUCAUUACUGACACUGAGGAGCGAAAGCAUGGGUAGCGAAGAGGAUUAGAUACCCUCGUAGUCCAUGCUGUAAACGAUGUGUGCUAGACGUUGGAAAUUUAAUUUUCAGUGUCGCAGAGAAAUCGUUAAGCACACCGCCUGGGGAGUACG